rnacentral:lncRNA from 1 species
AAAAAUCACACAGGUAAUUUUUAUACUGGUUCGAUUCAAAAGAAUCUACGUCCAGUCGUUAAUCACUAUAAAAAGUGAUUAACAGCUCCACUAAAAAUAAGUUUCACAGAUUACAAAAAUAGUGAAUAAAAUAUGAUGAUUGAACCUUCCUUCGACGAACAAACCAGAGGAUGAACACUCUGCCAACUUGAAGAGAACCGCUCCGACUAUUGACACACGAAACGCG